rnacentral:rRNA from 1 species
GAUGAACGCUAGCGGCAGGCCUAACACAUGCAAGUCGAGGGAUAAGCCUUCGGGCUACGACCGGCGCACGGGUGCGUAACGCGUAUACAAUCUGCCUUUUAUCCGGGGGAUAGCCCGAAGAAAUUUGGAUUAAUACCCUAUGGUAUAAGAGCACGGCAUCGUGCACUUAUUAAAGCUACGGCGGUAAAAGAUGAGUAUGCGUUCUAUUAGCUAGUUGGAGAGGUAACGGCUUCCCAAGGCGACGAUAGAUAGGGGUUCUGAGAGGGAUGUCCCCCACACUGGUACUGAGAUACGGACCAGACUCCUACGGGAGGCAGCAGUGAGGAAUAUUGGACAAUGGUCGGAAGACUGAUCCAGCCAUGCCGCGUGCAGGAUGACGGCCUUAUGGGUUGUAAACUGCUUUUGUAAGGGAAGAAUAAGGAGUACGUGUACUUUGAUGACGGUACCUUACGAAUAAGCAUCGGCUAACUCCGUG